CUAGUCUACGUCCGUCACUGCUUACCAGUGAUCGGGUUUAGUCGCCCGGAUU
rnacentral:ncRNA from 1 species